UCUUGCUUUGUUUCAUAAGUCAUUAUAUAGUAUACAAUGACUGAUUACUAAUAAGUAAUAUCUCGAUCUGUAAUCCAAGGUAUUGGAUGAAAACAAGAACACAGGACUUUGACGAUGAGCACUAGGUCAAAACAAGUGGCUCUUAUCUAUAAACUUCCAAUUUAAAGCCGCCUCAACUUCUAGGCUACGUCUCACUCAGAGUCACAGGAUAUCGAUAAGGAUUACACAAGUGAUAAUGCGCCUUCAGGCUGUGCAAUCAUGUCCUUUGCUUGGAUGUUUGAGCUAGUGAUCUAAGCACCAUAGGGGGCACAAUCCAAAACUUAAUAUGGCACUCCGAUAUAACUUGGAGCGCUUUUAAGUGGAGAUAAACCUAAGACUACAUGACUCAGGUCCUUUGCAAUCAGUCCUUUGUAACCCAUAAGCAGGUGGAAGUAGAUAUAUAGUCAGCUUUUCAUUUAUGCUAUUCUCUCUAGAUAUGUUGUAGAUUAUACUGGAGCUAAGACACUACCAAUCAUAAACUCCAACGCAAUCACCUGCGUGAGCGUUGCCUGAUGGAUGCCUUGCCUGACGGCACAUCCUGCAGAAGCAUUGGAUUGAGAAUGUAAUCAAUGAUCAGAGGCUCUUUUCAUAAA